UGAGGAAUAUUGGUCAAUGGCCGGAAGGCUGAACCAGCCAAGUCGCGUGAGGGAAUAAGGCCCUACGGGUCGUAAACCUCUUUUGCCAGGGAGCAAUGCCGUCCACGUGUGGACGGAAGGAGAGUAUCUGGAGAAAAAGCAUCGGCUAACUCCGUGCCAGCAGCCGCGGUAAUACGGAGGAUGCGAGCGUUAUCCGGAUUUAUUGGGUUUAAAGGGUGCGUAGGCGGCCUGCCAAGUCAGCGGUAAAAUUGCGGGGCUCAACCCCGUACAGCCGUUGAAACUGCCGGGCUCGAGUGGGCGAGAAGUAUGCGGAAUGCGUGGUGUAGCGGUGAAAUGCAUAGAUAUCACGCAGAACCCCGAUUGCGAAGGCAGCAUACCGGCGCCCGACUGACGCUGAGGCACGAAAGUGCGGGGAUCAAACAGGAUUAGAUACCCUGGUAGUCCGCACAGUAAACGAUGAAUGCUAGCUGUCCGGGGGGAUUGACCCCUGG
rnacentral:rRNA from 1 species